UUUAGAAGUCUUCCCUGGAAAGAAAUCUGGCUCUGAAUCAUAUGUACAGGCAAUCGUAUUCUAGCGAUUUUGAGGAAGUCUCAUUACUGUUUCCAGCAUGAGAACCAGGAAGCCUAAAGGCGGCGGGAUGGUGAAGAGUUUUUAUUUUUAUUUCUAAUAAAGAACAACAAAACACCUGCA